rnacentral:tRNA from 1 species
GCCUCCGUAGCGCAGUUGGAAGCGGGAUGGCCCCAGCAAGGCCAGAGGUCGCAGGUUCGAGUCCUGCCGGAGGUG